AAGAAUUAUUUCAUUUUUUUUAAUACUUUUAUGCCCCGAUAUUGUUCAAAAUUGUUAGUGAAUCAUAAAAGUGUCUAUAUUGGAUGGCUAAAUUCGAUCUUUCUAGUGUCAAUCCUCAAUAUGCUUGUAAUUGUGAUCAGUAACACAAUAAAAUCAAGGGGAUGCUGAUAAUUUUGAAAUGGUGUAAAAGCGUCCCAUUUGUCUAUCUGUACGUGGGGAAUUUCUCAGACAUGCUCUUAUCAACGUAUGAUGCUGAUCACCGUUGAUUCUCAGAUUAGUCUCAUUCAUGAGCUCUUAUAACUCAAGAAAUCGCUCACUAUGGAGCUAGAGCAACUCGGCUUAGUGAGUAUUCUUAACUCAUGAAAAGACCAGUCUUUAUACACACACACACACACACACACAUACAUAUAGAUGUACUUUUAUGUAAAUAGAUAUGGACACUAGUAUAUACGAACGUCCAGCUAUACUCAGUCUUUAGCCAUCUGUAAGAUAUUUCGGGCCGACCAAAUCGGAUCCACCUUGUGGAACCAGACACAACCCGACUUGAGUAAACCGACAAGAUUUUAGUAUCUUUCAGUUGUAACAUGCUAUUUCUCAUGGUGGGUGGUUAUUGCAGAUAUUUGUGGGGCCCAUUAAUCGGGUAAUAUAUGCAGUAACCACACAAAAUAUAAGCAGUGACCACCAGACACACGAACAAAAAACGAUCAAUGAGUGAAUUUGCUCCCGAAUAAUGAGGAUGCAUAAGGAUUUUUGUGUUGUGAAGAGUGCAGUCCUUGCUCAUCUUGUAGCAAAGGCCCCAUUGCCAGGAUUACUUGUUUGCUAUUGUUGUAGCUUGUAGGGACUGCCAGGGCGACGUUCUUGUCACCUAGUGGAAUCCCACUUGUGUCCCUUCGCGGAGACAUUCAUAAGCUGGGUUCAUGAUCAUUCUUCCUGAUCUUGGAGGCGCUAAUCGGAAGCUUCAUUCAGCUAACUGGGUUAUUCUCUAUCUCGGAUUUCUCGGUGACAUUAACCAAGGAGUACAAUCUGGAUUUUUGUUCCAGAAGUUGAGGCACCUCUGAUCGUUCGUCAUCCCCGACUCUCUACAUCUCUUCCCCCACCACCAGUGCCACUGUGAAGACUCCGUGAUUGCCCGGUGACCGUCCGUUCAAGUGAAUUCGACGACCGUCCGCCUUCUCUGCUCGUCUGUUGUAGUCCCUUCUCUACCCGUUCGUCAUCUAGCCUUCUUCAUCUGAUGAUUUUCCAAUUCCUAACUAUUGAGUGCCAUUGAUUUUCCAUUGUUACAUCGAUGGUCCAAUAGGUUCAAUUUAGUGUGUGGGCGUUAUUGGCAACUUGAAGUAAUCAUCAUCCUCGUCGUCUCUGUGCAAUUUGCUGGUUUUCUUGAAUUCCCAUAUGCCUAUUGUCCCUGCAGACAUAUGCUAGUCAUCUCGAACGAACCCAGUAACACCCACACUCCCGACAACUUCCUGCAAGCCACACGCCAAGGGACUCCUUACAGCUACACGACCGACAAUUGUCCUCGACAAAGGGGGUCAAUUAUGGUCAGCACAUCUAAUUCCUUUUGACGGAUGAGGCAUUUAUUUAUUAAGAGGUGCUGAUGAAAACUUGCGUGCCUAUUAACCAGCUCCCUCUGUAAUUGACAGGUUGUAUAUCAUCUUGUAGUACUCUUCCCCUGACUGUUGAUAGGUACCCAGCUCAAGCAAGAGAUGUAUUUGGGUGGUUCCAUUUGUACCUCAAUGGUAUGUCCAGGAUGUAAAAACUCCUAUUACCUCGAUAAUUGUUAUUUUAAUAUCUUCAAAGCUUUGAGGGGUGGUUCUUCGAUUUUCUUGUAUGUUGCACGAGGAGUCAACAACUACUAUACAGAAAUAUUAUUAGACAGACGUGAUCCUUAGAAAGAAUCCGUGUAGCCUUGGGGCAUGCCCAUAUUGUUGAUUGAAUACAGGAAUAUAGUGUUAGUACUG